rnacentral:lncRNA from 1 species
AAAUUUUAAAUCUUUAAAUUCUAUGAAAUUAAUUAAUUAAUUUUAUUAAUAAUACGAGUAAUAAAUCGCGUAAUAAAAUCUAACAUGAUAGAUGCAAUUUAAAUUAUGUAAAAUAUCGCUGUAUAAAAAAAAUACAGCAUUUAAAUUUCAGGAGUAAAAUUUUAGAAAUAUAGUGUAUUUCUGUGUAUAUAUAAUUAAUUUUAUUAAACAAUUUCUUUUACAAUUUUAUUUUCCCUCUAUUUAUUGAUUUUUUUAAAAAUUAUUUUGAUAGAUUUAUCUCAAAUUCUUUCAAUAUAAAUCUUUAUAAAAUAAAUUGUUGUAUAAAUUUACUCUGCUCAUAUACCAAUUUUAAUGACUUUUAUUUAAAAAGAUUUAGCUAUUAAAUUAUUUUUAUAUAAUAUUUAUUUAAUUAAUAAUUAGGCUUAUAAAAAUAUUAAAAAAAAUAAAAUUCAUUAUAAAAGUGUUUUUAUAUCCGCAGUAUCGCGCUGGUAUUUCACUAGUGUAUGAAGAAGAUUUGAUACUGAAAUAGUAAACAUAAU